rnacentral:rRNA from 1 species
UACGGAGGGUGCAAGCGUUGCUCGGAAUUAUUGGGCGUAAAGGGUAGGUAGGUGGUCUCAUUUGUCUGGGGUGAAAGCCUUGGGCUUAACUCAAGAAGUGCCCCGGAAACGGUGAGACUCGAGUCCUAGAGAGGGUCGUGGAAUUCCCGGUGCAGCGGUGAAAUGCGUAGAGAUCGGGAGGAACACCAGAGGCGAAGGCGGCGACCUGGAUAGGUACUGACACUCAACUACGAAAGCGUGGGGAGCGAACAGG